rnacentral:rRNA from 1 species
AUUGAACGCUGACGGCAGGCUUAACACAUGCAAGUCGAGCGGUAGCACAGGGGAGCUUGCUCUCUGGGUGACGAGCGGCGGACGGGUGAGUAAUGUCUGGGAAACUGCCUGAUGGAGGGGGAUAACUACUGGAAACGGUAGCUAAUACCGCAUAACGUCGCAAGACCAAAGAGGGGGACCUUCGGGCCUCUUGCCAUCAGAUGUGCCCAGAUGGGUUGAGCUAGUAGGUGGGGUAAUGGCUCACCUAGGCGACGAUCCCUAGCUGGCCUGAGAGGAUGGCCAGCCACACUAGAACAGAGAAUCGCCCGAGACUCCGGAGGGAGGCAGCAGUGGGGAAUAUUGCGCGAGGGGGGAGAGGCGGAUGUAGCCAUGCCGGGUGUGUGAAGAAGGCGCUAGGGUUGUAAAGCGAUUACAGCGAGGAGGAAGGUGGUGAGCUUAAUACGUUCAUCAAUUGACGGUACUCGCAGAAGAAGCACCGGCUAACUCCGUG